ACAACAGACGGAAACGACUGCUAAUACCGAAUAAGUUCCAAGAGCCGCAUGGCCCAUGGAAGAAAAGGUGGCCUCUACCUGUAAGCUAUCGCCUGAAGAGGGGUUUGCGUCUGAUUAGCUGGUUGGAGGGGUAACGGCCCACCAAGGCGACGAUCAGUAGCCGGUCUGAGAGGAUGAACGGCCACACUGGAACUGAGACACGGUCCAGACUCCUACGGGAGGCAGCAGUGGGGAAUCUUCCGCAAUGGGCGAAAGCCUGACGGAGCAACGCCGCGUGAGUGAUGACGGCCUUCGGGUUGUAAAACUCUGUGAUCCGGGACGAAAAGGCAGAGUGCGAAGAACAAACUGCAUUGACGGUACCGGAAAAGCAAGCCACGGCUAACUACGUGCCAGCAGCCGCGGUAAUACGUAGGUGGCAAGCGUUGUCCGGAAUUAUUGGGCGUAAAGCGCGCGCAGGCGGCUUCCCAAGUCCCUCUUAAAAGUGCGGGGCUUAACCCCGUGAUGGGAAGGAAACUGGGAAGCUGGAGUAUCGGAGAGGAAAGUGGAAUUCCUAGUGUAGCGGUGAAAUGCGUAGAGAUUAGGAAGAACACCGGUGGCGAAGGCGACUUUCUGGACGAAAACUGACGCUGAGGCGCGAAAGCGUGGGGAGCAAACAGGAUUAGAUACCCUGGUAGUCCACGCCGUAAAC
rnacentral:rRNA from 1 species